AACGAACGCUGGCGGCAGGCCUAACACAUGCAAGUCGAGCGCCCCGCAAGGGGAGCGGCGGACGGGUGAGUAACGCGUGGGAACGUGCCUCUUGCUACGGAAUAGCCUCGGGAAACUGGGAGUAAUACCGUAUGUGCCCUACGGGGGAAAGAUUUAUCGGCAAGAGAUCGGCCCGCGUUGGAUUAGGUAGUUGGUGGGGUAAUGGCCUACCAAGCCGACGAUCCAUAGCUGGUUUGAGAGGAUGAUCAGCCACACUGGGACUGAGACACGGCCCAGACUCCUACGGGAGGCAGCAGUGGGGAAUCUUAGACAAUGGGCGCAAGCCUGAUCUAGCCAUGCCGCGUGAGCGAUGAAGGCCUUAGGGUGUAAAGCUCUUUCAGUGGGAAGAUAAUGACUGUACCCACAGAAGAAGCCCCGGCUAACUCCGUG
rnacentral:rRNA from 1 species